GAGGACACCAGAAGUCCGUCAUGUCGACGACGGAGGCCACCCUUCCCACCGCCGGUAACCGCCGUUCUUACCGUUGCUACAACUGCAACGAUGCCUUUCACAUAACCACAACCGUCGGCGUCAGCUCCUCCUUUCGUUGCCCUCGCUGCUUUCAUCGCCACCUCCUCCCUAAUUACACCAUUGCCAGUUUUAUACCUUUUCCUCAACACUUAACUCUUACCGAUUAUACCCUUUCCAUCUAUGAAUCAAUUACUUUUAAUUAUUCCGAUUCCGAUACUGAAUCCGAUGAGAGUAAUUCCGACGAUCUUUCGUUUGAGUUGUUUAACCCACCUCAAUUCCGUUCACCG
rnacentral:misc_RNA from 1 species